rnacentral:tRNA from 1 species
GGAGACGUCGCAUAGUGGCCUAGUGCACCACCCUGCUAAGGUGGAGUCCUCUUUAAAGGGGACCGAGGGUUCAAAUCCCUCCGUCUCCGCCA